AAAAACGUAGGAAGUUGCUUAAAGAAGGAGGGUGGGACGCAAAUGUCGUCGAUGACGAAAUGGACAAAUGGGUAUGUAAGUAAGUACUCCGCAUUGUCUUCUUCUUGACCAUGACUCAGGUUUUUUUUUUUUUUGUGUGUGUGUCUAAGUAUUUAAUCACCCUUCAGAUUACACUAUCAAUUAUGUAUACCGUAAAUAGCAUAAUCACCUUGCAAAUUGUUUAUUGGUGCGGUAACCAUACUUAACUGGUAUGUCUCAUUUAAUUCACACCAAUUAGUUAUAUGGUACCAUUCAUACCUUGUUUCCAGCUGUACC
rnacentral:lncRNA from 1 species